rnacentral:rRNA from 1 species
GGGUUGUGAGGUUAAGCGACUAAGCGUACACGGUGGAUGCCCUGGCAGUCAGAGGCGAUGAAGGACGUGCUAAUCUGCGAUAAGCGCCGGUAAGGUGAUAUGAACCGUUAUAACCGGCGAUUUCCGAAUGGGGAAACCCAGUGUGAUUCGUCACACUAUCAUUAACUGAAUCCAUAGGUUAAUGAGGCGAACCGGGGGAACUGAAACAUCUAAGUACCCCGAGGAAAAGAAAUCAACCGAGAUUCCCCCAGUAGCGGCGAGCGAACGGGGAGGAGCCCAGAGCCUGAAUCAGCAUGUGUGUUAGUGGAAGCGUCUGGAAAGGCGCGCGAUACAGGGUGACAGCCCCGUACACAAAAGCGCAUGUGCUGUGAGCUCGAUGAGUAGGGCGGGACACGUGGUAUCCUGUCUGAAUAUGGGGGGACCAUCCUCCAAGGCUAAAUACUCCUGACUGACCGAUAGUGAACCAGUACCGUGAGGGAAAGGCGAAAAGAACCCCGGCGAGGGGAGUGAAAAAGAACCUGAAACCGUGUACGUACAAGCAGUGGGAGCCCCACCACUAAGCCAGUGGUGAACUCCACAUACGCAUCCUUUGCUGAGGAUACGGUUAACGGAGCGAAAGCGACGUUCAACCUCAAAAGAAGCAGAGGGGGCUUAGUGGUGGGGUGACUGCGUACCUUUUGUAUAAUGGGUCAGCGACUUAUAUUCUGUAGCAAGGUUAACCGAAUAGGGGAGCCGGAGGGAAACCGAGUCUUAAUUGGGCGUUAA